CCAUCAAGAUAUUAAGGGCGUAUGGUGGAUGUCUUGGCACCGAAAGCCGAUGAAGGACGUGGCAAGCUGCGAUAAGCCGUGUGGAGCCGCAAGCGGGCUUUGAAGCACGGAUUUCCGAAUGGGGGAACCCAGCGAGCGUAACGGCUCGUUACCCGCACCUGAACACAUAGGGUGUGCGGAGGGAACCCGGGGAAAUGACACAUCUGAGUACCCGGAGGAAAAGAAAGAAAGUCUCGAUUCCCUGAGUAGUGGCGAGCGAAAGGGGAAAUAGCCCAAACUCAGCACGUGAAAGCCUGUGGGCGUUGCGUGUUGGGGGUUGUAGGACCGACGUGGUUGUCCCACAGGGCAGCCUAGAGAGUUACAAAACGCACGGGUAGUCGAAGCGGACUGGAAAGUCCCGCCGUAGUGGGUAAAAGCCCCGUAGGCGAAACUCGAGCGACUCUCUGUUCGGCACCUGAGUAGAUCCGGACACGUGAAACCCGGAUCGAAUCCGCGGGGACCACCCCGCAAGGCUAAACACUAACGGUGACCGAUAGUGAACCAGUACCGUGAGGGAAAGAUGAAAAGUACCCCGCAAGGGGAGUGAAAUAGUACCUGAAACCAUACGCUUACAAGCGGUCGGAGCAGCUUCGUGCUGUGACGGCGUACUUUUUGCAUAACGGGCCAGCGAGUUGCUGGUGUCUGGCGAGGUUUAGCUAAGAGCGAGCCGAAGCGAAAGCGAGUGUUAAUAGCGCGUAGAGUCAGAUGCCGCAGACCCGAAACCGAGUGAGCUAUCCAUGGCCAGGUUGAAGCGGGGGUAAGACCUCGUGGAGGACCGAACCGACCUAGGUUGAAAACUGGGCGGAUGAGCUGUGGAUCGGAGUGAAAGGCUAAUCAAACUCGGCGAUAUCUGGUUCUCCCCGAAAUAUAUUUAGGUAUAGCCUGGCGUGUUUCGUCGCGGGUGUAGAGCACUGUUUGGACGCGGGGCCCCACAAGGUUACCAACUUCAGACAAACUCCGAAGACCGUGGACGUAAGAGCGCCGGAGUCAGGGAGUGGGGGAUAAACUUCAUUUCCGAGAGGGAAACAACCCAGACCGUCAGCUAAGGUCCCUAAAUAACGGCUAAGUGGUUUAAAGGAUGUGGCGCUGCACAGACAACCAGGAUGUUGGCUUAGAAGCAGCCAUCAUUUAAAGAGUGCGUAAUAGCUCACUGGUCAAGUGGUGUUGCGCCGAAAAUGUUCGGGCCUUGAGUCGUUUACCGAAGCUACGGACUUCAGCUUAUGCUGGAGUGGUAGGGGAGCAUCCUGUAACGGUCGAAGCGGCGGCGUAAGCCGGCGUGGACGGAUCAGGAGAGAGAAUGCUGGCAUGAGUAACGAGAGACAGGCGAGAAACCUGUCCGCCGAAAGCCCAAGGGUUCCUGGGUAAAGCUAAUCUUCCCAGGGUCAGUCGGGACCUAAGCCGAGGUCGAAAGACGUAGGCGAUGGACAGCAGGUAGACAUUCCUGCACCACGAACAUGGCGUUUGAGCGAUGGAGGGACGGAGAAGGGUAGGCCAACCGCAGCGCUGGUUGACUGCGGGCUUUGCCGUAGGCUGGGGAACAGGAAAAUCCGGGCCCCGUAAAAGCUGAGGGUCGAGCCGAAUCCCGCAAGGGCAAGUGGUUGAUCCCAUGCUUCCAGGAAAAGCUUCUAAGCGAGUCAUGUACGUGCCCGUACCAAAACCGACACAGGUGGGCGAGUGGAGAACACUAAGGCGAUCGAGAUAACUAUGGUUAAGGAACUCGGCAAAUUGUCCCCGUAACUUCGGGAGAAGGGGAGCUCUGGACGGUGAAGGCCUUGCGCCGUAAGCUGUUCGGAGCCGCAGAGAAUAGGCCCAGGCGACUGUUUACCAAAAACACAGGUCUCUGCUAAGUCGCAAGACGAUGUAUAGGGGCUGACGCCUGCCCAAUGCCAGAACGUUAAGGAAGCCGGUUAGCCUUCGGGCGAAGCUGGCGACUGAAGCGCUGGUCAAUGGCGGCCGUAACUAUAACGGUCCUAAGGUAGCGAAAUUCCUUGUCGGGUAAGUUCCGACCUGCACGAAAGGCGUAACGAUCUGGGCGCUGUCUCGACCAUAGACUCGGUGAAAUUGUAGUCUCGGUGAAGAUGCCGAGUACCCGCGGAAAGACGGAAAGACCCCGUGAACCUUUACUAUACCCUGGCAUUGGAUGCUGACACAGCUUGUGCAGGAUAGGUGGGAGGCUAUGAAACCGGGACGCCAGUCUCGGUGGAGCCGUCCUUGAGAUACCACCCUUGCUGUGUUGGUGUUCUAACCCUACGCCGUGAUCCGGGUGGGGAACAGUGUCAGGCGGGUAGUUUGACUGGGGCGGUCGCCUCCCAAAAAGUAACGGAGGCGCCCAAAGGUUCCCUCAGCACGGUCGGAAAUCGUGCGCAGAGUGUAAACGCACAAGGGAGCUUGACUGCGAGAGAGACAUCUCGAGCAGGGACGAAAGUCGGGGUUAGUGAUCCGGCGGUAACGAGUGGAAGUGCCGUCGCUCAACGGAUAAAAGGUACUCCGGGGAUAACAGGCUUAUAGCCGCCAAGAGUUCACAUCGACGCGGCUGUUUGGCACCUCGAUGUCGGCUCGUCGCAUCCUGGGGCUGGAGUAGGUCCCAAGGGUUGGGCUGUUCGCCCAUUAAAGCGGUACGCGAGCUGGGUUCAGAACGUCGUGAGACAGUUCGGUCCCUAUCUUCCGUGGGCGUUGGAGAUUUGAGAGGAGUGACUCCUAGUACGAGAGGACCGGAGUGAACGAACCUCUAGUGCACCGGUUGUCCUGCCAAGGGCACCGCCGGGUAGCUAUGUUCGGAAGGGAUAACCGCUGAAAGCAUCUAAGCGGGAAGCUCGCCUCGAGAUAAGAUCUCCCAUCCCCAUGAGGGAGUAAGACUCCUGGUAGACCACCAGGUUGAUAGGCCACAGGUGUAAGCACAGCGAUGUGUUCAGCCGAGUGGUACUAAUAGGUCGAGGGCUUGAU
rnacentral:rRNA from 1 species